rnacentral:rRNA from 1 species
UACAGAGGUCCCAAGCGUUGUUCGGAUUCACUGGGCGUAAAGGGUGCGUAGGUGGCCGGGUAAGUCUGACGUGAAAUCUCCGAGCCUAACUCGGAAACUGCAUCGGAUACUAUCCGGCUUGAGGGUUGGAGGGGGGACUGGAAUACUUGGUGUAGCAGUGAAAUGCGUAGAUAUCAAGUGGAACACCAGUUGCGAAGGCGGCUCUCUGGACCAGCACUGACACUGAGGCACGAAAGCGUGGGGAGCAAACAGG